CCUACGGGAGGCAGCAGUGGGGAAUAUUGGGCAAUGGGCGCAAGCCUGACCCAGCAACGCCGCGUGAAGGAAGAAGGCUUUCGGGUUGUAAACUUCUUUUAAGGGGGAAGAGCAUAAGACGGUACCCCUUGAAUAAGCCACUGCUAAAUACGUGCCAGCAGCCGCGGUAAUACGUAGGUGGCAAGCGUUGUCCGGAUUUACUGGGUGUAAAGGGCGUGCAGCCGGAGAGACAAGUCAUAUGGUAAAUCCACGGGCUCAACCCGUGAACUGCAUUUGAAACUGUUUCCCUUGAGUGUCGGAGAGGUAAUCGGAAUUCCUUGUGUAGCGGUGAAAUGCGUAGAUAUAAGGAAGAACACCAGUGGCGAAGGCGGAUUACUGGACGAUAACUGACGGUGAGGCGCGAAAGCGUGGGGAGCAAACAGGAUUAGAUACCCUUGUAGUC
rnacentral:rRNA from 1 species